rnacentral:rRNA from 1 species
CCUACGGGAGGCAGCAGUGAGGAAUAUUGGUCAAUGGACGAGAGUCUGAACCAGCCACGUAGCGUGAAGGAUGACUGCCCUAUGGGUUGUAAACUUCUUUUAUAUGGGACUAAAAUGUUCCACGUGUGGGAUUUUGUAUGUACCUUAUGAAUAAGGAUCGGCUAACUCCGUGCCAGCAGCCGCGGUAAUAAGGAGGAUCCGAGCGUUAUCCGGAUUUCUUGGGUUUAAAGGGAGCGUAGGUGGAUUGUUCAGUCAGUUGUGAAAGUUUGCGGAUCAACCGUAAAAUUGCAGUUGAAAAGGGCAGUCUUGAGUACAGUAGAGGUGGGCGGAAUUCGUGGUGUAGCGGUGAAAUGCUUAGAUAUCACGAAGAACUCCGAUUGCGAAGGCAGCUCACUGGACUGCAACUGACACUGAGGCUCGAAAGUGUGGGUAUCAAACAGGAUUAGAUACCCCUGUAGUC